GACGAACGCUGGCGGCGUGCUUAACACAUGCAAGUCGAACGGAAAGGCCCUGCUUUUGUGGGGUGCUCGAGUGGCGAACGGGUGAGUAACACGUGAGUAACCUGCCCUUGACUUUGGGAUAACUUCAGGAAACUGGGGCUAAUACCGGAUAGGAGCUCCUGCUGCAUGGUGGUGGUUGGAAAGUUUCGGCGGUUGGGGCUGGACUCGCGGCUUAUCAGCUUGUUGGUGGGGUAGUUGCUUACCAAGGCUUUGACGGGUAGCCGGCCUGAGAGGGGGACCGGCCACAUUGGGACUGAGAUAGGGACCAGAAGCCUACGGGAGGCAGCAGGGGGGAAUAUGGCACAAUGGGCCGAAGUCUGAGGUAGCAACUCUGCGUGCGGGAUGCCGGCCUACGGGGGAAAAACCGCUUUCGCCGGUGACGAAGCGUGAGUGACGGUAAUGAGUAAAGAAGCAACGGCUAACUACGUG
rnacentral:rRNA from 1 species